rnacentral:rRNA from 1 species
CACGUAGGGCGCGAGCGUUGUCCGGAAUUAUUGGGCGUAAAGAGCUCGUAGGCGGCCUGUUGCGUCCGCUGUGAAAGCCCGGAGCUUAACUCCGGAGGGUCGGUGGAUACUGCCAGUCUUGAAGGUGCUAGGGGGAGAUGGAAUUACCGGUGUAGCGGUGAAAUGCGUAGAUAUCGGUAGGAACACCAGUGGCGAAGGCGGUCUCCUGGGGCAUUCUUGACGCUGAGGCGCGAAAGCUGGGGGAGCAAACGGG